AAUAAGUGUAGUUUUGCACUAUUCAUGUUCACCGGGUUUGACCGUCCGUCUUAUUUGAAAAUUUUUUAUGAUUAAUAUUUUUAUUGCUAUUAGAUGAUAAAAUAUGAAUAGUACUUUAGUGUGUGACUGUAUGUUUUUAAUUUUUUCACAAAUUUUUCAAAUAAGACGGACGGUCAAACGUUGAACGUGAAUAGUGCAAAACUGCACUUAUU
rfam:Oryza sativa Japonica Group DNA, chromosome 4, cultivar: Nipponbare, complete sequence.